AUUUAGUUUAAUCUUUUAUUCACUGAAAAUCUUAUUCAAAAUUAUGAGAAUUUUAGAAUUAAGAAUUUACAUAGAUAAUUUAAGUUAUUUUCUGUAUUUUUGGUUUUUUGUUUUGCUGUUUGUUUGUUUUUCUAUCAUGGGGAUGCAUCUUUGGUAGUGGGAUUAGGUAAAACUCCUUGUGCACAAGUAAUGAUGAUUAGCUUCGGACAAUGUAACCAUGCUUAGAUGGUGUAAGUAUGGGUAGUCAAUCACUUUUGUACUUGUAAUUAAUGAUGUAAUCUACAGAUAUAUUAACUUUUGAAUUAUCAAUGACAGAGCAAGGAAACUCCAUUUCCUGCAACUUUUUUUUCCCCUCUUUGUUUCCUCUGUUUUGUGCGUGUUCUCUGCUAUUGCUAGCAUCUCCAACAGAGAAUAUGUUUUGAGAACUCUGGUUUUAAGGCUUGUUUCAUUUGGCAUAAGGGUAUCAUGUGGUUGAAGUCGAUAUUGAUCUCCAGCAUUACUUCAUUGCUUUUGGUUUUCUUGUGUAAUAUUCUGAGUUCUUUGGGAGGGAUGAGGAAGUUAUGUUCUCCUCCAGAUUGUUUAUCUGAUAAAAGAAUUCCUAUAGCAUUCAUUUGGAGAGGUGUGCAUUUGAAAUGAAUAUAGUUUUGGAUUUGUAUUUCAAGAGAAAUCAUAAAACAUCUACAAAGCGUCAAACUUAAAACCACUUUAUUUCAAAUUCUUAUCUAUGCAAAUGGAGCCAAAAUGUAACUUUUGGAAUCUCUUCAUUGCAGGUUUUCUUGUUUCAGAAGUCUG
rnacentral:misc_RNA from 1 species